CUUUUUUUUUUUUUUUUUUUUUUUGUAUGUGAAAUUAAUUCCAAGUUUGCUGGUCCAAAGAAACAAAAGAAAUAUGUUUUCACUAUAUGCCGGGAAAAGUUUUGCAGCUCGGUAACUCGAUGAUUUAUUAGCGUCUGGUGCCAACAAACAAACAUGUCUCUUUUCCGGGAAGAAGAGGGGGAAACAAAUUAACAUUCAUGGAAGAAAUUAGGGUUUGUUUCGACGUGAACACAUUUUUCAAUCAUUUUUUUAUCUCAUAUACAUCAAAUAAUCGCUAUGGUAAUUUAUUUUAAAAUAAAAAAAUCCAGUCGAAUCAUAUGAGAUGAGUUGGUCAAGAGUCGAGACAUUUGCCUGAAAAUUAGACCUACACUACACGUUCAAAUGUGAAACACCACUUGAGUAAAAGUCCAAGCAAGGUUAAAAACCCGGGAUCAAGAUGGCACGAAUGAAUUAAAUUGUAUGUGACUAGGUAGUGGGGUGAGAAGAGGUCUCGACUAGCUCCGCGUUGAACACAGGCUUUUCUGAGAUUAUUAUUAUUAUUAGUCAUGUAAACCCAAAUAAAAAUAAAAAACCAUCUUGUCGGCCGGAAGAGAAGAGGAUUAUUAGUCAGUGGGGUAGUUAUCAGAAGGACCAUCAUACAUUUGUCUGGUUCCAGGGAAUAGAAGAGUAAAACCAACAAUUCUCACUCUUUUCCCGUUUUUGUUUUUUGUUUUUUUGUUUUUUUUUUUUGCAGCAGAGAAGUCAUCCGUCCAUAAAAGUCGUCUCAGUUAAAUGAAAUGAACCAAGCUUGAUUUGUUGACUUGAGAAAACCAAACAGCAGCCAAAAUCCCUCCAUUUUCUCGAGGUGUGUGUACUAUAUGGGCGACUACGUACGCAAGAAAGAAAGAAAGAAAUUUGUGUUGGUUUGAAGUGAGACAAAACUACAAAAAAGUUGGUUUAGCUGGCGGUGGUACGAAAGAAACGAACUACUGUCCCACGUCACAUAUGAAGUUUCGGUGGGGGCGCGUUUUUGUAUGGUACAAUGAACUUGGUGACGAUGAAUCAAAUUGCCAAUUUGCUUAUCACUUUUUUUGAGAGAGAAGAAGAGAGGAGGAAAAAAAAAAUAAUAAUAAUAAAUUGGUGGGGUGUCAAAAACAAAAAAGUCCACACUGCAAAUCUGCAUGGCCGAAAAUAACACGAAAGAAAAGGGGGGCAGCAACUAACCAUGCCAUAAGAGGGUCAUAAUGUUCAAUGCACCAGGAUGGGUCGGGACUUGGGAGGGUAAGAAAAUAGUAGCGAAAAAGGUUUAAAGUUUUGUGGGCUACUGUUUCUGUCCGUUCCUGUUUCAGACAGCCGGUCUCUACACGCGUACCUGAUCCUGAUUUUGGACCUGUCCAUGUAUGUAUGUAUGUGCCUGUGAUAUGUUUUGAUUGAGACAUUCUCUUACUUUUCUUCCCUUUGAAUUCUUCAAUUUCUUCUACGCUUUUUAUGUAGUUGGAAAAAAUUUUGUACCCUGCCCUGGCAGUUUUUCUUUUUUCCGGACAAAAUUGUACCUCUCAAAGAACAAAACUGUAAUUUUACCUCUUUGUCCUUGGUAACUCUUGGCGAUUACUAGUAUGGAUCUUUUGGGCUAAUUAAUUGUCCUCCGGAGCAUUUAUUCUGGCAACAAUGAGUACCAACUCACUGCCAAAUAAUUGAAGUUCAUAAAGAAAACACAUCCAAAUUCUGUCUUAGCUUAUUACACUAUUUGAAGAAUAUAUCUUAAUCCGCACUUUUGAUGCAUCGAUCAGCUUCAUCAUCACCAUUAGUAUUGAAACUCCUACAAUGUAUUGACCCAGUUUUCGAGUUAUCCAUUUGGUGGUGAAUUUGAUUAAUCGGCUUUGUUUGGAUAUCAAAAAUUUUCAAAUAAUAAUAUUUCGCUCUUAUCAUAAAUAUAUUUUUCAACUUAUCUUUUAUGUUUGUUAACUGUCUGUUUAUCCCACAUGUAUUGCAUCAUAAAAACUGUUACAGUAAUUAUUUCAAAUAAUACUCCGUCUAAAUAAACCCGCUACUAUUUUCUUCCUCAUCAACGCAGCAAAAUUUAAAGCUAACAUGCCAAAGUAUAGUCAGCGUUUCAAAAUCAGAAAACUAGGGAUAAAAAAAAAAAAAAAAAGGCUGUUCUACACUUGCUGCAUAUAUGGCCGGUCAGCAACAAAUGCAUUGGAGCACACAGAAGAAGAAGGUGUGGUCGGGUGGAUCAAUUUGGUCCACGCAAUUUGUGUUGAUUAAAAGAUGUGGGUCGAAUGAUUAGUGUGAAAGACUCAUAUAAUUAAUUAAAAGGACAGAGUAAUUUGCAGCUCGUGUCAGAAUGUACGUCCAGAGAAAAUGAACAAUGAUAAUAAUCGUACGUCGAGAGAGAAUGAAAGUCAUCGCUCGCGUCAAGGCCAAUCAAUCAAAACUCAAAACCCAACUUGCUUGCAGCGGUGGUCUGCAUUUCAUGCAAUUAAUACGCUAAUAAUGUGACAGUUCUUACGGGAUUCAUGAAUUGCUCCUUAAUUUGGCUGGUCACCAAGCAGGCGGAAACAGUCGGAGAAUUUGACAUCCAUAUCUUGAGAUGAGAUGUUAGCUGAACUCGUCCGCCGUCCUUGGUUUUGGAUGUCCUAUCCCUCUCUCGUUCAUGAACUUGAAUCCUCUCCAUGUUGGACUUGGACCCCAUGCAUCGUUUUCAUUGCAGAUGGUUAAUCAGUAGCGAGUCUUUCAGUCUUAAUUUCCGCCCAGGGGCCCUGAGAUUUGAGCUCUCUUUCCAUACAAAUGCAUUCAUCAUCAAAGCGUGAGAACAUGCAUGCACACAAAAUUCGUCAUCGUCAUGCUGUACAUCGUCUCUGCCAUGCAAAUUCUGGAGCGAGCGCUCUGUCAAACUUUGGAAAGUUCUGCUCAGUGCACUUAUCCCCUAAAUCAACGUGCAAUUAACUUUUUCGAAUGCGGAAAGACAGUUAAAAAUUAAUACUACAUAUAAUAAUAAUAAUGUGGUUGAAAAUGUAUAAAUCCCAAAAUGCAUAGAAUCUUGUAGGAUUCUACUUAUGAUCAUGAAAGCAUGAAACUGUAUUGAUCCUAGCUUUUGCCUUAUUUUACAAAUGUAUAUAAGAAGAAAGAAGGAAUGGUAAUCCUAUUUGCUCAAAUUUGUGCAUCGGCCACCAAGUGGUACGUUUUAAGGUGCGAUAUAUAUUUGGCAAAACGUCUAUGUACAUAUAUAUAUAUAUAUAUAUGUAUAUAUGAAAUCGGUUCAUUUAAUCAAUCGCUUUCUUUUUAUUAGCUGCCAUGUUUAGUUAAAGAGAGUUAAUGGAUUAAUAGAUAUUUGGAUUUUAACUCUUUUUUAAACUAAUUUUAAUUAUUAUGAUUUCUAUCUAACUUUUAUCUCGUUCAAUAAAAAUGAAUUACUUUGCUAGCCCACACGUGUGAUUUUUUCAUUAAAUUUAUCGACUUCGCUGAAAGCUGAAACUUCGCUCAUGAGAGAAUCAAUUGCUACACUUUUUUUUUUUUGGUGUUUAACUAAAAGCAAAUAAUAUGUAAUUAGAGGUGUAUAAUCAUUUUAAAAGUAUAAUAAUCAUCUCGAAGCAAAUUUUUCAUUUCCUUUUUUCUAUACAUUGCAGUUUAUUGAUAAAUAUUAUCAUGUUAUGAUAUUAUGAUUUUUAAAAAAAAAAAUUGCAAUGUUAGUUAAAUAUCUAGAAUACAAUUUUCAUUAUCUGACCAAAAAUUAUUUACUUGCAUUACAAACACAAUUUUCAACACACCUCUUUCUCUUUCCAAUUAUCUUUUUAUCUUAUACCACAAAAAAUACUACAGUAAUUAUUCCAAACAAUCUCCUAUCCAUACACCAUGAUAAAUAUCUCAGAAUAAACAUGUAAAAAUAUCGUUGAUAUCUCUUUCUUGAAAUGUUAUUAUCCCUUGGUUCAUAACAAAUCAAAAUAAAAGUAUCCGAAAAAACAAGUAUAAAUUAAACUGACUGUACAUGGCAAAAUAUUUUGGCAAUCUCAAAAUCUUGUUCAGGGCAUCGCGCGCAAACUCUCCACAGUUUUGGCAAAGCAGUCUGCCCCUCCAAAUCUUAUCAAUCCGAAGCCGUGACAAGCGGGGGCGCCUUCCUGCAACAAGGCUGCAAAUCUUUACCUUCACCUUAAAGAAAAGAGCAAUCGUUUUCGUAUGAGAAAAUGUGACAUGAAACGUGUUUAUGAUCCAUUGAAUUUUCGCGCUGUGGAAUAUGGUGUGUGCAUUGAAUGUAAGCUUUGCAGGGCAUGACAUUCAGCCUUACAGGUCCUUCUCAAGAAAUGGGCAGAUAUUUUUUUUCCCCCAAAAAAAAAAAAGAAAAGAAAAAAGUACUGACAAAGGAUGAUUAGGAAGGUAGGUAUGAAGAAGAAGGACGGGAAGGGCUAGGAUGGGUUCAGAUUCAGUGGAAGCUCUGCGAAAUGUUAAUAAAUCUUAUCACUUACCAGUUCCCACUUGUGUUGUAGUAAAUCUUAAAAAAUAUAACCAUGGUCCCAUUGGCAUUAUGCACAAAGAGGGCCAAUUCAAGGAAUCUAAUAAGUUGAUCGAGAUGGAUAUUCAAAAAAAGAUGAACCGCGAGUUUGGUUUAAAACACACCAACUUGGACUGUUUUGCUAAAUGGGAUCUUGAAAAUUAAUCAGUUUUUCAAAUUUGAGUUAGAGACCUUUUGCUAUACGUAAGUAGCAGUGCCUUUAUGUUCAACUGCAUGUAUAAAUUGUCCACCUGAUGACCGGUGGUGUACAGGCAAUUUUUUGCCGGCAAGGGAACCAAUUUGCUCCUCCUCCGCAUCAAAAUUGAUUGAUUGAUGACUACAAGAAUCUAGGACCAAUAUUGUUAGUAUAGGAUGCGUAGCAGCAAUGCCGGACUGCCCCCCAGCUUUCAAGUUUGACGAGUAUUUUCUAAAACGUUUUCAUGUAUUUCUGGUCAGUACGCCGUUUUAUGAUUCUUGUGAUAGAUUGCAGCAGCAGCAGCUAGCGGCAUUGAUGGCAAGAUAUGCAAUCGUAUUGGAUGUGUCGAACUGCAGCAUUGGCCUUUCUUUUUUUCUUUUCUUUUUUCAAUAAUUAAGGAGCGUAUCUUAAUCUGAUCAACACUACCGGAAAUGCCCCUAUAUUAUAUAUCAGUUUCUAUCAACUAAUUCUCUCUAUUCUUUGGGUAGGGUUACUUUUAGUUUGGUUUAAUUCGGCUGCAGGUCUUUAAAAUAGAAAACAAAAAUUAUUAAUUAUUACACGCAGCCAGCCCCAAAUGACACCUUAACUUGCUGUCACAUUCCAAAAAAAAAAAAAAAAAAAUGAAAGCUCUCGAUCAUAAAGACUCCAUGAACAAGGCAAAUAUGUGCAGCUGUCAAGUGAAGAGUGUCAGAAAUCAAAAGAGUGCAGAUUGGUGCAUGGAUUUGGAGAUGCUUAUUGCUUAACCCAAAAGCAAAAGCGAUAGGAAUUCCUGCACUUGCAGGUUUCAAUUCUAUUAAAUCCAAUCCACGUUGCGUUCAAAACCAAUUCUAUCUAUUAUAGGUGCUUGCAUGCAUCAAACCUUUUGCGUUGAUUUUUUCAGAAAAUUUUGUGUACAUCAUAAAGUGAUUGUUGAGUGAUCGCUAUCUAAUCUAAUUUAUAAUCUUCUGUGAAGAUGUGAUGGGAUCCUAACUUAACACAAAUUGAAAAAGAAAAAUAUCCGUAUGACGCUGGAUGAUUUCACGUACAGCUAAGCAACUGAACAUUAAUAAAAUUAAGGGUCCGUUUGUUUCGGGUGAAAAUGUUUUCCAGGAAAAUAUUUUCCUCAUUUCCCGUGUUUGGUUGUACAAAAGUUACUGAAACCAUUUUCCUAUGUAAAAUAUUUUCACUCAUCUUAUGGAAAACAACUUCCCUUCCAAACUUACUGAAGUUGUUUUCCGAAAUGCAUGCAUCCCGCCUGUAGUAUGUUCCAAACUUACCGAAAACAUUUUGUAGUAUGUUCUUUUUUUUUUUUUAGUGUAAACAGGAGAACUCGAACCGAAGACCUCUUUCUUACACUCCCUCCCCUGUACCACCCAACCCAACCCAACCCUCCCCUAGUAUAUUCAAAAUAAAAAAAAAAAAACCUCAUCCUGCUCAUCCUAUGCUAGUAAUUAAUUAUGUAUAAUAGGGACAUUCUUUUCUAGAGAAACUUUUAGCAGUGAGAGUGCAAGAUAUAUGUCACAAUAAGCAUUGCAUGUGAUUGAUAUUUGACACUAAAUGGCCAGCAAUUUGUUUAUUGCUUGAGGAGAUAUUUUUUAUUCAUAUAUACAUUUUUCCAAGAUUUUUUAAAGUUAAACAAUGAGAUAAAUUUUCUUAUUUUGCAUGGGAAGAAGUAUGUAGUUAUAAUGUGUAGAAAGUAAAGAUAGAGAUAAAAGUGAAAAUAUUUCAAAAGUUAAACAAACACCAUAAAAAUGAAGUAAGAAAAUAUUUUCAAUAAGCUAACCAAACACCUGAAAAUGAUGAAAGGGAAAUGAUUUUCAUGGAAAAUUACUUCCACGCAAGGAAAACAUUUUACUUCCAACCAAACAGACCCUAAGAAGAGGUUCCAAUGGCGUAUUGAAAGAAGAGAAAACUAAAUUAACGGCAGAAAAGAAAAGCUUUGCAAAAAUACUACUCUACUAUAUGUGCACAGGGAGAGAGAAUCAGCUGUGUGAGUCUUGAAGCACCUGAAAAUCCAGCUAUUCCUUAAUUAACUUGUAAUCAAUCAAUCAAUCAAAUUGCCAUUGAUACUACUACAUCUUUUUUAUUUGGUAUUUUCACAUUAGCUUAUAGUACAAAUAAAAGGAAGGAUUAGAUAAUGAGGGAGCGGAAGGGCUUUCAACGAAACGAAUGUACAGGGCAAAAGACAAUUGCUGAAGACACGGGAAUUCGUUAAAUUGGUCAAAUGGGUUUUGUUGAAUUUAGGAAUUGGAGUUGAGAGAGACCAGAUUCAAUGUAGUCUUCAUUGAUAAAGAUCAACUUGUUUAAAAAUACUCCUUCGCUUGUCCUGGCGCGGGUUGGUUGGAUAGUAUAAAUAAAGACAAUACAACAAGAAGGUUUGCUUGCUUUAUUUUAUGGUACUACUACUCCUACUAUUCUGCCCCAUUAGUUGCUUGUGGUACGGCACCCGCAAUCUAGAUCCUUUUUUGUUUUGGCUUUCCAGCCCAGCUUCACGGUUUGAACCCCGUCAGGCAAGUCAACUUGAGAAAACGAAAUUGGGCAUACAUCAAUUUCCCAGUAGCGAGGGAUUCCAGCAGUUUAGCAAAAUUAGAACUCAAAAAAACGUCUAGUGGUUGAAUUUGUGAACCAAUGAAAAAGCAAAUACCACUCACGGUACGCAUUUGUUGGUUCACAGAAGUGAGAAAGGAAGGUCCACUUGCACAAGUUUCAUUUUUCACUCUUUGGGCCUGCACCAAAUAAAUAAAACUGAAAUAGAAAGGAAAAAGGCAGUGCUAAAUUCAUAGCACCCAAAAAAACAUGAAGAAGCUUAGACGUAAGAUGCUGCUUCCUGUUCUUUAGUUCUAACCACCACUUGCAUAAGAAUGCAGAGAGGAAAAGAGAGUUUGAGAUCACCCCAGUUCAGGAGUAGUAAUCAACCAUCCAGCUUAAAUGAUUAACAAACCAUCACCAUUUAGCCCAGACAGCAAUAUGCCGAAUCUCACUCGCCUCAUCUUAAAUUAUUCAUCCUUUUAGGAGCACUUCAAUGAUAUUUAACACACUCUAAUAAUCAAUAGUUGCGGAUACGUAAUCGCAGCUUAACAAAAAGAAUGCGAUAAAAGUUGCGAGCAUUAAUCAUAGAGCCAGAUGAACCAAAAGAGAGAGAGAGCAUAAGAAACAUAUAAAUCAGUCAGAUGUAACAGGCAGUAUUAGCAUUAUAUUUACAAGAUCUCAAAAUGCAUCCUGUAGAAAUACACAGUUAACUGGUGAUUUUGUAUCUAUAAAGGUGGUAUAGAAGGAGAAGCAUAUAUAUUUUGAAUAGAUGUGGAACUACUCAGCCAAAUUAAAAAAGCCCAUAAAAAUUCUCAGUUCCAAUGUCACUUAUCCUCUUCUUCUUGCCUUCUCUCUCUCUUUUCCUCCCCUCAGGGAAACUAUACACCAAAUGUCAUGAAACAAAGAAAACAGCGAAUUCUCAUUUACUGAAAUAAACUAGGUGCACU
rnacentral:lncRNA from 1 species